rnacentral:tRNA from 1 species
GCGAGCGUAGCUCAGUUGGUAGAGCAUCACGUUGCCAACGUGAAUGUCGAGGGUUCAAAUCCCUUCGCUCGCUCCA